CAUAUUUCUUCAUUACGACAGCAAAUACCUUCUUGGAAGAAACCCCAAAGCACAGGAGUUAAAACAUAAUAGUGAAAAAGACACCAACCUCUUUUCUAAUUCCAGCCUUUUACAUUAAUAGAAGUGAUAUGGUGUUUAUGAAAGCUCUCUUAACACUGGACUGAUGACCACUGUAUUAUUAUAAAGGAGAAUUAAAAGAGAUGCAGCAGGUAUUCUGAUGUGGGAACACGUUUGAAACGUGUCUCUACAAGGUUUACUGAUACCAGCUAAAAUUUGAAGUUGAUAUCCGCUCCAGCCACAGUCAGAGAUACCAGCUAUUUCCCAGAGGAUUUGGAGUGGCAGUGGACAGCAGUGGAAGUUUGGUUGGAGAUGGUCAUUAUAAAGUUUGGUUUGUUUGGGCACAUUAAUCUGUACUAAUAUACUGCUCUGUUAGUGAUGAUGUGUGGGCAAAUGAAUGUGGGAACAACUUGAGA